GUGGCUUAGUGGUUAGAUCGUCUGCCUCGGAUGUGGGUGGUCGUGGGUUCGAUCCCCAGUCAAGUCA